rnacentral:tRNA from 1 species
GCCUGGCUGGCUCAGUCGGUAGAGCAUGUGACUCUUGAUCUUGGGGUCAUGAGUUUGAGCCUCAUGUUGGGGG